AGUGAAGCCGGAGGGACGGGGUCCAACCGUUGUCGGCUGCGCGGAAACUGGGACUUCUCCCCAGGGUCGUGGAGGACGCGGCCGCCGACCCUCCCACCGCCUCACGCCUCGGAGACCGGGUCCAGAGCCCUCAGCCGCUUCCGAGCCCCGAGAGGGGAAUCAGAAGUGCGCGUGAUCAGAGCGGCACCCCCUUCCCAGGAACCGCAGCUGAACCAACGGUUUCCCCUGCACCAGCCUUUGCGACCAGACCAGAAGACCAUGUAGCACCAAAAAGAUAGCUGCAAAGCGGAAUAAAGUUGGGGAAAACAAUCUGCUGGCCGGAAGAGAGUAAGAUGCAGGAGGAUGAUUGCCGGUUCUCCGCAGCACGAGUCAGGGAGGCCAUGAGAUGGAAGAGCCACCCCACAAUGGGAAGAACCUGGAGACAAGGUUCUCCUUGUCUAUGCCCAAGAGAAGCCACCCUUCAGGAGAGAGUUUCUGAGUUUCAUGAACUUGGGGAACAUUCUAAACCUAUUCAAAAUAUGCUUACUCACAGAGAGGUCUCACAAGUAGGCACGUCGUCCAUAAAUGAGACUCGCAUGUUGAAUAUUUACACAGAAUUCAGUUUUUGUUUAGAUGACUAUCAGAAUAAAAUAUCUGUGUAUGAAAAGCCUUAAAAA
rnacentral:lncRNA from 1 species